CAACAGAUAUAUUUCCCAAUUUCAAACAGAAUCACCACCUAUCAUACCCCAUCAUGCCUCAUUGAUCAUCCUUGUCCUAACGAUAUGUCAUCUCCAAGGUCAUGUCUUACGAAGACAGAGACUUCUUCUGGAUCCCAUCGGGUAGGCAUAUGUGGCAUGAGGUAGUGACUAAUGUGACUUGCAUCUCAAUUGCAUAGAAAUAGGUUCUCAUCAUUUACUCAUAAGCAUGAAUAUAACACCACAUGAAAUAAUUUCACUAUACUAUAGCUUGGUGAUAACUUCAUUUGUCAUAGCAAAUAACACACAAAUAAUUCUAUAUCCAAGUUUAUAAUGCUUGCCUUCAAGGUGGAGAGAGGUGAGGUGCACACGAAAACUUUUUGAAAGUCUUAAUCUUCCCUCCAAAUUCCUAUUUAGAUAAUACUCAAAUC
rnacentral:lncRNA from 1 species